UGGGGAAUUUUGGACAAUGGGGGAAACCCUGAUCCAGCCAUCCCGCGUGUGCGAUGAAGGCCUUCGGGUUGUAAAGCACUUUUGGCAGGAAAGAAACGUCAUGGGUUAAUACCCCGUGAAACUGACGGUACCUGCAGAAUAAGCACCGGCUAACUACGUGCCAGCAGCCGCGGUAAUACGUAGGGUGCAAGCGUUAAUCGGAAUUACUGGGCGUAAAGCGUGCGCAGGCGGUUCGGAAAGAAAGAUGUGAAAUCCCAGAGCUCAACUUUGGAACUGCAUUUUUAACUACCGGUCUAGAGUGUGUCAGAGGGAGGUGGAAUGCCGCGUGUAGCAGUGAAAUGCGUAGAUAGGCGGAGGAACACCGAUGGAGAAGGCAGCCUCCUGGGAUAACACUGACGCUCAUGCACGAAAGCGUGGGGAGCAAACAGG
rnacentral:rRNA from 1 species